rnacentral:rRNA from 1 species
AUAUCAAUAAGCGGAGGAAAAGAAACUAACAAGGAUUCCCCUAGUAACGGCGAGUGAAGAGGGAAAAGCUCAAAUUUUGAAUCUGGUGUCUUCGACUCCCGAGUUGUAAUCUAGAGAAGUGUUUUCCGCGCUGGACCGUGCAUAAGUUUCCUGGAACACGGCGUCAUAGAGGGUGAGAAUCCCGUAUCUGGCACAGGCCUUCCAGUGCUAUGUGAUACACUCUCAACGAGUCGAGUUGUUUGGGAAUGCAGCUCAAAAUGGGUGGUAAAUUCCAUCUAAAGCUAAAUAUUGGCGAGAGACCGAUAGCGAACAAGUACCGUGAGGGAAAGAUGAAAAGCACUUUGGAAAGAGAGUUAAAAGUACGUGAAAUUGUUGAAAGGGAAACGCUUGAAGUCAGACGUGCGCAGCUUCGGCUAAUGCAGGCUAGCAUCGGUUUUGCGAGUCGGAUAAAGGUAGGGGGAAGGUGGCAGUCUCGGCUGUGUUAUAGCCCCUUACUGAAUACGGAUUGCGAGACCGAGGGAUGCAGCGCGCCGCAAGGCAAAGGGUCCGCCCUUUACGCGCUCAGGAUGCUGGUGAAAUGGCUUUAAACGA